AACGAACGCUGGCGGCAGGCUUAACACAUGCAAGUCGAACGCCCCGCAAGGGGAGUGGCGCACGGGUGAGUAACGCGUGGGAAUAUGCCCUUCGGUUCGGAAUAACACAGGGAAACUUGUGCUAAUACCGGAUACGAUCUACGGAUGAAAGAUUUAUCGCCGGGGGAGUAGCCCGCGUAGGAUUAGCUAGUUGGUGAGGUAAUGGCUCACCAAGGCGACGAUCCUUAGCUGGUCUGAGAGGAUGAUCAGCCACACUGGGACUGAGACACGGCCCAGACUCCUGCGGGAGGCAGCAGUGGGGAAUAUUGGACAAUGGGGGAAACCCUGAUCCAGCCAUGCCGCGUGAGUGAUGAAGGCCUUAGGGUUGUAAAGCUCUUUCGCCAGGGAAGAUAAUGACGGUACCUGGAAAAGAAGCCUCGGCUAACUCCGUGCCAGCCGCCGCAGUAAUAC
rnacentral:rRNA from 1 species